AUUGAACGCUGGCGGCAUGCCUAACACAUGCAAGUCGAGCGGAGCGGCGGACGGGGGAUUAAUGCCUAGGAAUCUGCCUGGUAGUGGGGGAUACCGUACGGAAAGGUGCGCUAAUACCGCAUACUAUCAGAUCAGCCUCGGGUGGAGUAGAGAGUUGGUGGGGUAGUGGCUUACCAAGGCGACGAUCCAUAGCUGGUCUGAGAGGAUGAUCAGUCACACUGGAACUGAGACACGGUCCAGACUCCUACGGGAGGCAGCAGUGGGGAAUAUUGGACAAUGGGCGAAAGCCUGAUCCAGCCAUGCCGCGUGUGUGAAGAAGGUCUUCGGAUUGUAAAGCACUUUAAGUUGGGAGGCGUUACCUACAGAAGAAGCACCGGCUAACUUCGUGCCAGCCGCCGCGGUAAUUC
rnacentral:rRNA from 1 species